UGGGUAACCUGCCUCAAAGAGGGGAAUAGCCUCCCGAAAGGGAGAUUAAUACCGCAUAAUAUGUUUUAGUCGCAUGACUUAAACAUCAAAGGAUUUUUCUUUUAAGAAAUUCCACUUUGAGAUGGACCCGCGGCGCAUUAGCUAGUUGGUGAGGUAACGGCUCACCAAGGCAACGAUGCGUAGCCGACCUGAGAGGGUGAUCGGCCACAUUGGAACUGAGACACGGUCCAGACUCCGUAGGGAGG
rnacentral:rRNA from 1 species